ensembl:lncRNA
CAUAGUUACUGCAAGUAUUUCAAUCGUAUUUCCUUUCACACAAGACCCAUGGAACAGAAAUAUUUCCCAGCAGGCUUGAUAAGUCCACAACUAUUCAACGUUGGGCCAGGAUAGUUGAAAGCUGCAGAACACGUGCCUUCCAUAUAUGUGUUACUAAGGCCUACUUCCUUCACAUUUACCAAUCACUAAUUACUAGAUUCAUGUGUUGACAUCGCCACUGAGGACAAGUCUGGCUUGUACUGGCAGACAUGUCACACUAUGACUUUGAGCCAGUUUAAAGGAAUAGUUUUGGCCGAUUUACUCUCGUGUUUAUAGUUUCUUGAGGAAAUUAAUACCACUCUCAUGUCUGUCUUUCAUAAAAAUAUGAAACUACAACCAGCAGUAGCUUAACUGUUUGAUAGACGCAUGAUGAUGCCACAACGCAAAGCCGUGCCUAAUUAUGCAAAGGUAUCAAUCAAGAUAACAAAUAAAAUAAUUAGAAUUCACUGAUUUUCCAGCUAUUUAUUUGGAUAUAAAUGCCAGAUAUGUUUUAGUCAUACAGGGCAUUUGCUUAAACUACAAACUGGCAACAUGUACACUCACCUGUCACUUUAUUAGGUACAGCUGAGAAAUAUAACACCACCACAACCCACUAUGACCUCAAUGUGAAGUGGAAUUUUUUGGAAAUAGUGACAAAGAAAUCUAAAGUGCUUCAGUUAAAGGCAACUGGACUUCUCUAGUUGGUUCUUGAAGAUGUUUCACUCAUCCAAAAUGCUUCUUCAGUUCUACCUCGGUGAUGGGAAAAACACCCUAAAUAACAAGGCUAAUGACCCAAGAUUACCAUGCAUAAAAAAAUUAAGGGAAACUCUUUCUAGAACAGCAAUGUUCACAUUUUGGACAGUGAAGACAGAUGGUUGGAGACAUGAAGUAAAGGAAACCAUCUACAUAAAACUGGAACAGAAAUCUCUAAACAGAGUCUACAACACCACUUAUACUUAGAAUGGAGACAGUUUAACAACCACUAACACUUCGAGUCGCUGUUGGGUUAUUAACAAACCAUUAACCAUGUCUUCUGGUGUGAGAAUAAAUACGUGGGAGUCCCCAUCAGCUGGUUAAAACUGAGGAAACCUUUUGAUUGAGAGAUGAAACACCUUCAAGAACCAAGCAGAAGUCUAUUUUCCUUCAACUGAAGCAUUUAGCUUUACUUUUUCCUGGAUGACCGAGAAUCCACACAGACAUAAACUCUGUAAAAGAAGUCUUUAUGGCAAAGCUCUUGUAUUGGAUUGCAUUAGACCUCACAGAUGUGCUCAAUAAAGUGUCCGGUGACUAUAAUUUUUGCAAUCUAUUUCCAAGUAUGAGGAAAUAAAGACUCGGGCAAUGAAAAAGAACUACAACAAACACUUGUCAGUCCUAGGGUUAUGGACAACUGAAAGUAAAUGAAAUAGUUUAUUGCUAACAUAACAAUGGAAAGCACUUUUCCUCAUCUGGAAGUUACCGCAGUGUUUACAGUUACUUUAUGUUAGCUUAAGAGAGGGAUUACUUACUGUUUUAUAUCAAAUAACAAAUCCAGAACUGUAAAGUACUGUAAAAUAAUUCCUCAUCUGUGAAAUGUUAUUCCCCUGUGCUUGGUUUUAGCACUUCUUUCAUUCGGAGAGCCAAAGGCAGCAUAAACGUGACGCUUUCUUCUAUUUCAGAGACACAUUAGCUUGGAUUAGCUUAGCGUAAAGACAGCUAGCAUGGCUCUGUCAAAAGCUAAAACAAUAAAAUUAACUUCACCCUCUGUCUUUAAGCAUGAUAUGUGUAUCUAAAAGUGCACUUCUAAGACUUUUACCAACACAUUUAAAUAAGACUUUUUCCUAUCAGCCCGACAGCAAAACAAGCUAGCUAGGAAUUUGCUAGCAACAGUUAGCUUCUAGUUUGAAGACUGUAAGCGGGUGGAAACUGCUAGCUUGGCUUGGUCAGAGGGUUAAAAAACUGCCAACAAUUUGUCAUUAUUUUAUAUGUUUGUGUGUAUUUUAAAUAAACACUAUAUAAUGUGUUAGAAUUUGUGGAUUUUGCUAGCUUUUCCACAAAGCCAUGGUAGCUGUUACCCCUGCUUUCUGUCUUUAUGCUAAGUUAAGCUAACGGGCUGCUGGUGAUGUUGCAGUAGCUUCGUAUAUAAGUUGCCGUACAGAUGUGAGAGUGGUGUUAAACUUCUCAUAAAGAUGGUGAACAUGAGUAUUUCCCAGCAGUAUACAUACAGCAUACAACAGCAUACAGAGAAACUGCAUAUUUUGUGCCUCGUAGCCUGCGGUAAGAGCGUUAUCAGGUGUAAAUAGGGCUGUGGUGUUAGUCCCUGUGCAACAACACCACACAGCAAACAUCCCUGCAAGAUAUCUCCCACCAUCACAAGAGUCCACUGAGGCUGCCCCAUGACCCCACACAGCCUUUAUAACUGGAUCUGUGUCUGAUCUGAUACAGAUUCUGCAUCGGAGUGCCCCUUCUCUGCUGUCUAACAUGCUGCAUUUCAGCUAUCAGGUCAAUACAAAUGUUCAAACUCAGUUUUUCUGCCGCCUUUCGUAAGGCUAAGACACAAAAGCCAUAUGUAACCCCAAAUACCUACUCUUCAGAGUUCCUUAUUAAUGUUACAUUAUUAUUAUGAUCAACAAACAACUAUGUAACCUCCAAAUAAUAAUCCUCCUGCUGAUUUAUAUGAUACUAUAAUGAAAAGUUUCAUAUUAGACUCAUAUUAAUCCCUUUCUAAUAAGUCUAACAGCACUCGUUCCCAGUUAACUUGGCAAGUCUAAUCUGUGGAGACACUUCUGUCACUUUGCAUUUAACAUGUAACCUCCUGUAUCUAACCAUGCUUGAUGACUGUAACCUAACUAUACAGCAAAUUUACUAUGAAAACUACUAUAAAAACCACAGGCAAACACAUCAGCUUCAUAACUGUCAAUCCCUUUCAAGUUUAAAGUACUAAAAUGACACCUGUGACCUCAUGUAGUGGAGUUCAUCAUUAUAUAUGCCACAAAAAAACACAUUAUUGACUCCAUUCCUACACUUUUCUCUCGUGUUUUGGGUUUUGGAAAGGCUAUUGAGCAGAUUAUUAUUGUUAGCUAUUGUUUACCAGUUUGACUGCCAUUUGGACACGUUAAUUACUUCUGUAAUAUCGUAAACUGUAACCCCACUUUUUUGUUUGAUGCCCUGAAUUUCCAAAUGUUAGUGAUAUCCAGGUUCUGUAAACUGUGCCUCCAUUUUCCUGGCCCCCCAAGAAUUUCAGAUAAUAGUCAUAAGCAGGUUCCCAGCAUCACUUUCCCUUUCAGUCUUGCUGGUAGUUUUCCUGAAACCAUCCUGUGGACUGAUGUCGGUGGAGCAGAAUGUACCUCCUGUCCUAGAAUUUCCUCAGAGACUCUGGGAAGCUUCGUGAGGUGGUGUUUUUCUUUGUUUUUUUGGAGACAUUCGUCUUUCUAGGGAGCGUCUAGCUAUGAGGAAUGUAUUGUUGAGACACAACAAACUAAAGCCACUGGAUCCCUUUGAUUUGUGGAAGUAUCGCCACAGUGUUUGUCUCAAGAAGAUGGAAGGAAAUCACAGUCAUAUCAAAUAUUCCCUUAGGCACGGAUGUGUAUGUAUAUUAUGAGUACUAAUUGUGAGUUGAGCGAGUGCUGGAGGAGUGUACAUAGAAUAAUUCUGUCUUGUAAAUCAGUAGUUUUGAUCCAUGCUCCAUGAGGCCCCAAAGCUGGGUCAGAUAUUUACUUUAAAACAGUCAGAUGGUGGACUGUCUAAAGGUCACACCACCAGACUGAGGUGGUGGUGAACAUGUGAUGUUAUUGAGAAGCUGGUCGAGAAUAUAAAAGUGUUGAACCAGUCUGGCUUUCACUGGAGAGUCAUAGUGUCCUAUUGUGGCCUAGCUGCUGUUUCACCCUGCUUUCUCACCCCGACAGCCUGGGAAAAACACACCUUAAGAUGUUGAUUAUCAGCUUAAAAUUCUGUGCUACCUGUCUGCAAUUGUUUUGAUUUAAAAAUUUUUUUAUCAGCCUUAAAAAAACACCUUGCCAAUCAAUUUAUCAUUAGCUGGUAGGUUUUCAUUCCAGUUCUGCCAGUGUAGGCUGAUUAGAGAUGAGGAACACAUGGAGCUGCUGCAGAGUUUUGGCCUCAUUUAGAGCCACAGAUCAGAUCUUUAACACGGCCAGAAACUCUGGUGAAGCAGAGGUGGCAUUGGAAAACAAGAUCUUGUUAUAAUGACAAGGUUUUUUAAGCAAAAAUGUUCAACAGUUGGCUACAGAAAUUUAAAUAAUGAUGACAAUGACACCACAACAACAGGAAGAUCCUUGGUGUUAGCGUAUUGUGUGGCUAAUGUUAACUGUGAUUCUGUGUCCACUGGUCAGAACUCUGUGAAAAUUGAGGAAUAUUAAGAGAUAAUGAAAACAAAUAACAAAGACUGGAUGGGUUACUGUGUUUUCAUGUCCUCUGUUGUGCUUCAGUGAAACCUAAAUCCAGCUGGUGUUUACAUCCGUUUGCUUCUCUCCUGCUCGCUGUGCUCACAUACACUGUAUUUUAAUUCAGCUGAAGUCUUAGUAAAGCUGUUCCCAUUUAAAUAUGUUUCUGUUUGUUGUCAGACAAUGGAACAAGUAUGAACUAGUGGCUGAAACGCAGCCCGUUAUAACUACCUAACCAGCAGUCACCUUAGAGCCAUUUCCAAACUGCUGCUCUGCACCGAUAACAUAAAGACUUUAUAACAUAGUGUCACCUGACAAACUCAAUUUUUAGUUAAUUAUCACUCAGAAAGUUAGAAGUGAUGGAAAGCCCUGGUUUCUCAGUUAUUUGUGUCUAUCUCAAUCAGAGGCAGAGAGUCUUCUUCCUGAAGGGGGCGUGGACAGCUACAGACACUGAAACAACAGGACUAAAACCAGGGGUUAAACAGUCAGAAUGAAAUGAACCAUCGUUGGAGUGUUUAGAGCUGAAAAUUGAAAGACAUUUUGAGAACAUGUCUUUCAUCAGUUGACUGAAAAGGGGCACAAUAUGGCGAUUACAAAAUGUGGUACUUGUAUAAAGAGUCUUUAUCUGUUUUUAUAAAUGAGUAGAAAGGUUAGCUACACUUAGUUCAAUCAUUUCAACUGCUUUGGCAUCUAUAGUUUCAGAUUGACUGGAAUUCCCAGAGUUCUUCUUACAAAUAUAGGCUUUGUCAUCAUAACAAGAUCUUGUUUUGUCAGUGCGGUGGUUUUGGUAGCUGGUAGCAGUUCUGUUCAGCUUUAGGAACCUGCUC